rnacentral:rRNA from 1 species
UACGUAGGUGGCAAGCGUUGUCCGGAUUUACUGGGCGUAAAGAGCGCGCAGGCGGUCGUUCAAGUCGCGUGUGAAAGCCCCCCGGCUCAACUGGGGAGGGUCACGCGAUACUGAUCGACUGGAAGGCAGGAGAGGGUAGUGGAAUUCCCGGUGGUAGUGGUGAAAUGCGUAGAUAUCGGGGAGGAACACCGGUGGCGAAGGCGGGUCUCUGGGCCCGUAACUGACGCGAGGAGCGAAAG